GUAGCUUGCUACUGAUCUUAGCGGCGGACGGGUGAGUAAUGCUUAGGAAUCUGCCUAUUAGUGGGGGACAACAUCUCGAAAGGGAUGCUAAUACCGCAUACGUCCUACGGGAGAAAGCAGGGGAUCUUCGGACCUUGCGCUAAUAGAUGAGCCUAAGUCGGAUUAGCUAGUUGGUGGGGUAAAGGCCUACCAAGGCGACGAUCUGUAGCGGGUCUGAGAGGAUGAUCCGCCACACUGGGACUGAGACACGGCCCAGACUCCUACGGGAGGCAGCAGUGGGGAAUAUUGGACAAUGGGGGGAACCCUGAUCCAGCCAUGCCGCGUGUGUGAAGAAGGCCUUAUGGUUGUAAAGCACUUUAAGCGAGGAGGAGGCUACUUUAGAUAAUACCUAGAGAUAGUGGACGUUACUCGCAGAAUAAGCACCGGCUAACUCUGUGCCAGCAGCCGCGGUAAUACAGAGGGUGCAAGCGUUAAUCGGAUUUACUGGGCGUAAAGCGCGCGUAGGCGGCUAAUUAAGUCAAAUGUGAAAUCCCCGAGCUUAACUUGGGAAUUGCAUUCGAUACUGGUUAGCUAGAGUGUGGGAGAGGAUGGUAGAAUUCCAGGUGUAGCGGUGAAAUGCGUAGAGAUCUGGAGGAAUACCGAUGGCGAAGGCAGCCAUCUGGCCUAACACUGACGCUGAGGUGCGAAAGCAUGGGGAGCAAACAGGAUUAGAUACCCUGGUAGUCCAUGCCGUAAACGAUGUCUACUAGC
rnacentral:rRNA from 1 species